rnacentral:rRNA from 1 species
UAAUACGGAGGUCCCAAGCGUUGUUCGGAAUUACUGGGCGUAAAGGGAGCGCAGGCGGAUAGUUAAGUCUAAAGUGGAAUCCCGGGGCUCAACCUCGGAACUGCUUCGGAUACUGGCUGUCUUGAGUUCGUGAGAGGAAAGCGGAAUUCAGGGUGUAGCGGUGAAAUGCUUAGAUAUCCUGAGGAACACCGAUGGCGAAAGCAGCUUUCUGGCGCGAUACUGACGCUGAGGCUCGAAAGCGUGGGGAGCGAACGGG